UCCAUGCUCAGGGUGUCCCUAAGCCUGUGACUGCCAGACGCUGGGACUGGACGACAGGGGAUGGAUCAGUCAAUAAUUGCUCUGUUCUGAUCAUUCCCUCUGAACCACCUGCUACUGGCCACUAUUGGAAGACAGGAUACUGGGCUAGAUAGCUCAUUGGUCUGCCCCAAUAUGGCUAUUCUUAGAUAUCUCUCACUGGAACAA